GCGUCAUCAAAAUGGCCGACAGAAAUCAUCAUUUUCUCGUCGAGAGAAAUGCUCAAUAACACGAACAGCGAUUGAAAUCCAAUUCACCAAGGCACAAAGUUCAGUUGAAUAAGUUAAUGUUGGCCAAGUUUUCAAGCUUGGAGACAUUUGACAACUUAAUACUAGACCAUGGGUACAAUGACGCGCGUAUUGGCUCUGUAUCGGCUGAGAAAUCUUGGAGUACAGAGGCCUCAUGCAUGGCCAAGUUAAUGCUUUCAGACUGACAUUUUGGUAUGAAUCCAUUUAAAAUUAUGACACAAAACAACCAUGAUGAUGGUAGAAUAAAUGAGCCACGGCUAAAUUUCUGUCAUGUAUUAUAAUUUGA